rnacentral:other from 1 species
CGCCGCCUGCAGUGUUCGACACGGUCCGGGUUACCUCUCGACCUUAAGUUCAACACCCUGGGGUGUGGCCAGCCGGCACCAUUGUGCAAGUCCGCCUCGAGCGGGAAGCCUUAGGGGUCGCGGCCUUCCCCAACUAUUGCUCCACGUCGAGAGCAAUGGUUCGUGACGGCACAGGCGGGCGGCGC